UACGUAGGGUGCAAGCGUUGUCCGGAAUUAUUGGGCGUAAAGAGCUCGUAGGCGGUCUGUCGCGUCUGCUGUGAAAAUCCAGGGCUCAACCCUGGACCUGCAGUGGGUACGGGCAGACUAGAGUGCGGUAGGGGAGAUCGGAAUUCCUGGUGUAGCGGUGAAAUGCGCAGAUAUCAGGAGGAACACCAAUGGCGAAGGCAGCACUCUGGGACGGUACUGACGCUGAGACGCGAAAGCGUGGGGAGCAAACAGG
rnacentral:rRNA from 1 species